rnacentral:rRNA from 1 species
UACGUAGGCAGCGAGCGUUGUUCGGAGUUACUGGGCGUAAAGAGUGCGUAGGCGGUGCGGUAAGUCUGGUGUGAAAUCUCCCGGCUCAACUGGGAGGGUGCGCUAGAAACUGCCGUGCUUGAGUGUGGGAGAGGUAAGCGGAAUUCCUGGUGUAGCGGUGAAAUGCGUAGAUAUCAGGAGGAACACCUGCGGUGUAGACAGCUUACUGGACCAUAACUGACGCUGAGGCACGAAAGCGUGGGGAGCGAACAGG